rnacentral:rRNA from 1 species
CCUACGGGAGGCAGCAGUGAGGAAUAUUGGUCAAUGGUCGGGAGACUGAACCAGCCAAGCCGCGUGAGGGAGGAAGGUACAGAGUAUCGUAAACCUCUUUUGUCAGGGAACAAAGACUGGGACGCGUCCCCGGAUGAGGGUACCUGAAGAAAAAGCAUCGGCUAACUCCGUGCCAGCAGCCGCGGUAAUACGGAGGAUGCGAGCGUUAUCCGGAUUUAUUGGGUUUAAAGGGUGCGCAGGCGGUCUGUUAAGUCAGCGGUAAAAGCCCGGGGCUCAACCCCGGCCAGCCGUUGAAACUGGCAGUCGCGAGUUGGAGAGAAGUAGGCGGAAUGCGCGGUGUAGCGGUGAAAUGCAUAGAUAUCGCGCAGAACUCCGAUUGCGAAGGCAGCAUGCCGGCUCCACACUGACGCUGAGGCACGAAAGCGUGGGUAUCGAACAGGAUUAGAUACCCCUGUAGUC